GGGAACUCUGUGGUGCUCCGGGGUGAAGUUUCUCCCAGGUGCAGAUCUAGGAUCAGCUUCCCCUCUCACAACCCUAAUUAGUAAGGAACAUGCAAAACUGACCCAAAAUCAGCAUCUAGGGGCAUCUUCACCGUACACCAGUUGGAGGUGGUGGGGGAGGGGGAUAUGUGGUGGUGGGGGGUAUUCUAUGGUGGUAUGCUAUUUUCCGGGUGUGUUUUGAUCAACCUUUGGUUAGAGCACUGUCUGCUUUAGGUUUCUUGAAACCUACUAAACCCUGAUGCAUGCUGAAAUAACAACCCUGACAAUGCUGAGUAGGCGAUGAAGAAAAGGAAUGACUCUACACCCACACCUUUCUAUUCUUGGUUUUGUGAAAAGUGAUCACUAAAGAAGAACCUUUGAAACCUCUGCUGAGAAGAGCGAUCUCUUCUGUUGAUUGUCCAGCAACUUUGCUGUUAAUAUGGAAAAUAUAUGUUGCUUUUUGUCCUCUCCCCUCUUCUUUUCUUCAUCCUUUUUUGAAGGAUGGGAAUUAAAGGCUAUUGCUCAACUCUGCCUGUGAAUAGCACGCUGCAUUACACCAAACACAAGUGCCUAUGUGAAUCUUUAGUCCCCGCCCACUUCGCUUUCUAUCUGCUGUCUUACUGGUGGCGUCUAUCCUUUGAUUAGAGCAGGAAUGAUUCAUUCUGGAUUCUGAGACUCUGAUAGUCACUAAGGAAUGUUUGAAGAUAAUACAUCAAUGCUUAUUAUAGAGUAUGACGUGUGGGGUUUGCAAAAACAGUUCCCGAAAAAAGUAAGGUUGGGAACCACUGGUUUAGAAGAAAUGGAUGACCAUUGCAAUACCAAUACAGUAAGGAAGUGUUUAAAUAGCUAUUAUGGGUGAAGGGAUAGGGAAGGGUUGUGUUGUUUUUCAUUGUUUUAAAAUGUGAAACUGUGAUUUAAAGCCAAGACAAGUGAUUUGCAUGCAAAGGCCCCCUCUACCCAAGUCUUGGUCUGUGUGGCCACUGUCCAUUGUGAGCCAGUCCCAGACACUGAGUAAUGUAACAAAUGCCAAUCAGUAACAUCCGAAUAGCCUAAUGAUGGCAUUCUGAAUGCUGAGGAAACCAUAUAUCUCACUCCUGUCCUGACUCUGACGAUCAUUGGGGCUUUUGUCACUUUAUAAGUAUGUAACCAAUGCACACUGACAAUGAAUGGGCUUCUUUUCAUAUGGGACUGGAGCUCGGUUGUUAGAAUGGCUAAAGUGGAAUAUGUGUAUGACAACCCGUAGUGAUUUUUGUAGAGAGAUUGAAAUGUUUUGUUUAAACAUGACGUUUUUGGGCUUUUAAACUCUUGACUAUUAAAAGCCAGUUUGUCUAAAACCAA